rnacentral:tRNA from 1 species
GGAGAGAUGGCAGAGUGGUCGAAUGCGGCGGUCUUGAAAACCGUUGUACCGCAAGGUACCGGGGGUUCGAAUCCCUCUCUCUCCGCCA